CGCAAUCAACCUUGUCCUAUAACUAUUUUGUUGACUACUACUCUGGCUAGAAAUAACGUAGGAGGUACUUCGCUUUUAAUUCAUCAAACUAGUAUACUUUGCAAAAGCUUGAUUAUGAGCACUAUCAAAGAGCCCAACAUGAUCUUUCAAUGUCUUUUUAUGCUUCUAAUCCCUAAAGCCCAUCAAAGAGCCCAACGUGAUCUUUCAAUGUCUUUUUGUGCUUCCAAUCCCUAAAGCAGGUCUUG
rnacentral:lncRNA from 1 species